GACGAACGCUGGCGGCGUGCUUAACACAUGCGAGUCGUACGAUGACCCGGCUCUUCGGCGCUGGUGAUUAGUGGCGAACGGGUGAGUAACACGUGGGUGACCUGCCCUGCACUCUGGGAUAAGCCCGGGAAACUGGGUCUAAUACUGGAUACGACCAGUGGCCGCAUGGUCUGCUGGUGGAAAGCCCUUCGGGGUGGUGUGGGAUGGGCCCGCGGCCUAUCAGCUUGUUGGUGGGGUGAUGGCCUACCAAGGCGACGACGGGUAGCCGGCCUGAGAGGGUGUCCGGCCACACUGGGACUGAGACACGGCCCAGACUCCUACGGGAGGCAGCAGUGGGGAAUCUUGCACAAUGGGCGAAAGCCUGAUGCAGCGACGCCGCGUGAGGGAUGACGGCCUUCGGGUUGUAAACCUCUUUCGGCAGGGAACAAGCCUGGGGGUUUUCUUCUGGGUGAGGGUACCUGCGGAAGAAGCACCGGCUAACUACGUG
rnacentral:rRNA from 1 species